CGAAAGCCCCCCGAUUACACCGAGGAGUUAUCUGUUUGACCCAGAUUAUUUUGA
rnacentral:tRNA from 1 species